rfam:Caenorhabditis japonica strain DF5081 Contig9661.1, whole genome shotgun sequence.
UAGCUUCAGCGAUGGAUCGGUCGCAUCGAGUAUCGAUGAAGAACGCAGCUUGCUGUGUUACUUACCACGAAUUGCAGACGCUUAGAGUGGUAAACUUUCGAACGCAUAGCACCGACUGGG